AGUGAACGCUGGCGGUAGGCCUAACACAUGCGAGUCGAACGGCAGCACAGUAAGAGCUUGCUCUUACGGGUGGCGAGUGGCGGACGGGUGAGGAAUACAUCGGAAUCUACUUUUUCGUGGGGGAUAACGUAGGGAAACUUACGCUAAUACCGCAUACGACCUACGGGUGAAAGCAGGGGAUCUUCGGACCUUGCGCGAUUGAAUGAGCCGAUGUCGGAUUAGCUAGUUGGCGGGGUAAAGGCCCACCAAGGCGACGAUCCGUAGCUGGUCUGAGAGGAUGAUCAGCCACACUGGAACUGAGACACGGUCCAGACUCCUACGGGAGGCAGCAGUGGGGAAUAUUGGACAAUGGCGCAAGCCUGAUCCAGCCAUACCGCGUGGGUGAAGAAGGCCUUCGGGUUGUAAAGCCCUUUUGUUGGGAAAGAAAAGCAGCAGGUUAAUACCCCGCUGUUCUGACGGUACCCAAAGAAUAAGCACCGGCUAACUUCGUG
rnacentral:rRNA from 1 species